UACGGGGGGGGCAAGCGUUGUUCGGAAUUACUGGGCGUAAAGGGCUCGUAGGCGGCCAACUAAGUCAGACGUGAAAUCCCUCGGCUUAACCGGGGAACUGCGUCCGAUACUGGAAGGCUUGAAUCCGGGAGAGGGAUGCGGAAUUCCAGGUGUAGCGGUGAAAUGCGUAGAUAUCAGGAGGAAUACCGGUGGCGAAGGCGGGUCUCUGGGCAGUAACUGACGCUGAGGAGCGAAAGCGUGGGAAGCGAACAGG
rnacentral:rRNA from 1 species